CUGACCCAGCCUCUAUGUCCCCAG
rnacentral:miRNA from 1 species